rnacentral:tRNA from 1 species
UCCCCGGUAGCUCAAUGGUAGUAGCGAUUGGCUGUUAACCAAUAGGCUGUUGGUUCGAGUCCAACCCGGGGAGCCA